rnacentral:rRNA from 1 species
UGAGGAAUAUUGGGUCAAUGGGCGAGAGCCUGAACCAGCCAAGUAGCGUGCAGGAUGACGGCCCUAUGGGUUGUAAACUGCUUUUAUAAGGGAAUAAAGUGAGUCUCGUGAGACUUUUUGCAUGUACCUUAUGAAUAAGGACCGGCUAAUUCCGUGCCAGCAGCCGCGGUAAUACGGAAGGUCCGGGCGUUAUCCGGAUUUAUUGGGUUUAAAGGGAGCGUAGGCCGCCUUUUAAGCGUGUUGUGAAAUGUAGGGGCUCAACCCCUGCACUGCAGCGCGAACUGGAGGGCUUGAGUACACACAAAGUAGGCGGAAUUCAUGGUGUAGCGGUGAAAUGCUUAGAUAUCAUGAAGAAUCCCGAUUGCGAAGGCAGCUUACUGGAGUGUAA